rnacentral:rRNA from 1 species
AACGAACGCUGGCGGCAUGCCUAACACAUGCAAGUCGAACGAGACCUUCGGGUCUAGUGGCGCACGGGUGCGUAACGCGUGGGAACCUGCCCUUAGGUUCGGAAUAACUCCCCGAAAGGGGUGCUAAUACCGGAUAAUGUCUUCGGACCAAAGAUUUAUCGCCUUUGGAUGGGCCCGCGUUGGAUUAGCUAGUUGGUAGGGUAAAAGCCUACCAAGGCGACGAUCCAUAGCUGGUCUGAGAGGAUGAUCAGCCACACUGGGACUGAGACACGGCCCAGACUCCUACGGGAGGCAGCAGUGGGGAAUAGUGGACAAGGGGCGAAAGCCUGAUCCAGCAAUGCCGCGUGAGUGAUGAAGGCCUUAGGGUUGUAAAGCUCUUUUACCCGGGAUGAUAAUGACAGUACCGGGAGAAUAAGCUCCGGCUAACUCCGU